rnacentral:lncRNA from 1 species
ACUCUGUCAUAAAGAGGAAGCCAUCAGGUUCUUGGAUAAUUGCUGAAUGGAACUAAGGGAAAUGAGAGGAGAGAAGCAUCUCAGAGCAUGUUUGGACUUGCUGCAUGCCUUGGACCCUGCUACACACUGAUAACUGAAUAUUGAGCCCUUGAGCUGAUAAACAAGGGUCUUUGACUCGAGAGUGUUUUGCCAUCCUGUUUGCAAGCUUUGUGUUUGUUUCCUUUCCUCCAAGAGUACAUUUUCUUACUCCUCAUAUGGCCCCAAACCACACAUUGAGAACUAUGGCCUAGAGUUUGUGAUUAAUGGAACCCUAUCUCCACUCCAACCUCCACUCAUUAACCAAUGAUCUCUACUGGUGCCUGUCACAUUUACAAAUAUGUGAGAGGCCUUAAUUUAAAUCUGGAACUAAGCUAGUGAUUUCAAUUACAAUAGUCUGACUCAUUCCGACAUUAUCAUUGGGUAAAAUAGCCUCAGUUUCCUUAUCUGUAAAAUGAAUUCAAUGUUGGCAACACUGGUCUUAAAGUAAAAUAACUUUAAGAAAAUUGCUGAAGGCUAUGGCGUAUGACUUAGUGUAUUAUUAUUUUAUAAUGGAGAGUUUUACCUACCAAAGAAUUUUUUUUGUACAAAGUCUUCAAAAUCCAGUGUACUUAGAGCACAUCUCAGUUCAAACUAGCCACAUUUCAAGUGCUCAGUAGCCACAUAUGGCUAGUGGUCACUGAAUUGAGCAGUACAGGACUUGAUAAUAAGGCGAGAGGAGAAAGUAACCAAACAAGAGAGAGUCAAAUUAAGUUCUUUUGGCUCAUUGGGCAAAUUGUAAAUGCUUCUCUGGGAUUAGCUGCCUUCAGUUUUUACAACACCAAAGCUGAGAAGUCUGGUUGCAAACAGUCUGAGUUGGGCUGCCCAAGAUUCUAGCCAGCCAAGAGUCAAUCAGUCGAUGAGCUUAGUUGCACAUGGGUGAAACUUGGCAAGAUUUAUCUUUGCCAUCCAAACACGUUUGCAGUCCACACCAGAUGAGAACAUAUAUGCUUUUUAUUAUUUAAUCAGCCAUCCUGAUCUUCAGUUAGGAUGACCAUAGAAUUUUUUGUCCAAACCGGCACACUUUUGAGAGAGAAAGAAGGCACUAUUAAUAAUGGUCCUGGGACAACAGGCAUAAUAUGAGACUGUUCCUGCUGGCAAAUCAGGACAUACGGUUACCCUACCUUUAGUCAAUGUUU